rnacentral:lncRNA from 1 species
CUGUGAAAAAUUUUAUAUAAUCAUAAAACUUGUUUUUAUUUAAAAAAAAACAGUCGUUCCUUGGCAUUGACUGAGUCUCACUUCACGUGGUGGUUAACGUGAAGUGCACUCAAAAAGCCCACCUCAGAAGAUACCCUACGCGCCUCUACGACCGAGGUGAGAAUAUAAAGGAGUUUACCGUGCCCUUCUAAUAGGCUGGUCCAUGGAACCUCGCCACUGCAGUAGCUAAU